UUACUGUUCAUAACGCCCCAAUAAACCUCCUAAAAAACCCGAUUCUUCGAGCUCUCCGCCAUUUCCUCGAUCUCCAUAGCUCUGCUCUCUCUCUCUCUCUGGCCGCAGUCCGCCAUGGCUGUCUCUCUCCAGAGCUUCGCCACCCUCGGAAAUCCUAGUCUGUAUGGAAGCAGGGUGCCGCAGGCUUUCUGCCGCCUUUCUUUCUCGCACUUCUUCCACAUCGACGCCGUUCCUGCCCGCGGGUUGGAUCUGGCUCAAACUCAAUCCUCCCUCUCGAAAAGAAACCCCGGCUUUCGUCUUGUCGCGGUGGAACGACGGAUCUCGAGGCUUGUACCCUUUGCGGCUUCGCAUGAGGAAUCGAAACAUCCAGAUAUUGAAGUGGAGGAAGGACAUAAUAUUGAAAUAAAGAUGGAGGGUUCACAGGAAGCAUGGAAGCAGUCAUUAGAAUAUGUUAAAGCAGAAGCCAUGAAAGCAAAAGCCAUCUCUCAAGAAGCAUAUGAAGUGUACUCCAAGAAAGCAACAGAGAUAUUGCUUGAAGCAUCUGAGAAGCUGAAGAUUCAGGCAGGAAAAGCGCAACAAGAUUUGAGUAUAAUAGCAAAAGAACUCAGUAAGGAAGGAAAAGAAUAUCUUAAUACAACAGCAAAAAAUUAUCCUGAUUCAGUUAAGGAUGUUCUGGAAACUUUCACAUCAUUAAGUGAAUUGAAGAACAUAUCUGAGGUCCGUGAUUACCACAUUGGCAUUCCUUAUGGAACCUUUCUUGCAAUUGGAGGCUUUCUCCAUUUCAUGUUGACUGGAAGCAUUCCUGCUAUUCGGUUUGGUAUCAUUCUUGGCACUGCACUUUUGGCUCUCAGUAUAUCGAGUCUGAGAUCAUGGAAGAAUGGACAACCAUCUGCACUAAAUUUGACAGGGCAAGCUGCAAUUGUGUCGAUUAUCAGCAUAAAGGAGUGGUCAUUGUUCGGUCAGAGGAGAUCGUUUCCAUCUCUUUUAAUGAUCAUCAUCAGUGGAGCAAUACUAGCUUCCUAUGUUUACUUGAUCUUAUCAGUCCGUCGCUUUAAAGGUACAGCCAUGGAAGAAAGAUCAGAGAAUUAAUGCUCUGGGUAAAGGAAUAAAUGGGUCAAUUUCAGUGUUCCCCAGCAGGAAGGGCAUAAAAAGCUGGAUUUUGGUGGUCUGUAGAAUUUGCUUGUGUGAGAGGAUUUCCCAUCCUUGAAUCAAGAAGAACACUACUUUUCUUCUUGGGCUUGUAAUGUAACUAGUAAUUCCACAGAUUUCCCUAGAAUUUUGAUCUUCAAGGAGCCCACAUGGCACCUACCAUUUGUCUAAAUUGUCAGGUGCUGUUGUAGGGCCAAUCGUGUAUUUCAUCAUCAGAACUAGAUGCACUAGGCACCGUUUCCAGGAACAUUUGGUGUAUGUGAUUGGAUUGCCUUUUCUUUCUGGACAGAUUUAAGCAGGUCAGUUCCUUGUAUGCUGUUCUCGU